rnacentral:rRNA from 1 species
AUUGAACGCUGGCGGCAUGCUUUUCACAUGCAAGUCGAACGGUAACAGGCCUUCGGGUGCUGACGAGUGGCGAACGGGUGAGUAAUGCAUCGGAACGUGCCCAGAGGUGGGGGAUAACGCAGCGAAAGCUGUGCUAAUACCGCAUGUGAUCUGAGGAUGAAAGCGGGGGACCAGGCAGCAAUGUUUGGCCUCGCGCCUUUGGAGCGGCCGAUGUCAGAUUAGGUAGUUGGUGGGGUAAAGGCCUACCAAGCCGACGAUCUGUAGCUGGUCUGAGAGGACGACCAGCCACACUGGGACUGAGACACGGCCCAGACUCCUACGGGAGGCAGCAGUGGGGAAUUUUGGACAAUGGGCGCAAGCCUGAUCCAGCAAUGCCGCGUGCGGGAAGAAGGCCUUCGGGUUGUAAACCGCUUUUGUACGGAACGAAAAGGCUCUGGCUAAUACCUGGGGCUGAUGACGGUACCGUAAGAAUAAGCACCGGCUAACUACGUG